CGUGCGAUAGGUAAAUCCGUCGUACAUGUGGCUGAGACCUGAUGCCGAGCCGAUUGUGGUGAAGUGGAUGAUCCUAUGCUGUCGAGAAAAGCCUCUAGCGAGUUUCAUGGCGGCCCGUACCCUAAACCGACUCAGGUGGUCAGGUAGAGAAUACCGAGGCGUUCGGGUGAACUAUGGUUAAGGAACUCGGCAAAAUGCCCCCGUAACUUCGGGAGAAGGGGGGCCAUGUCUGGUGAUGAGUCUUGCACUCUGAGCUGGGUGUGGCCGCAGAGACCAGCGAGAAGCGACUGUUUACUAAAAACACAGGUCCGUGCGAAGCCGUAAGGCGAUGUAUACGGACUGACGCCUGCCCGGUGCUGGAACGUUAAGGGGACCGGUUAGUCACAUUUCGGUGUGGCGAAGCUGAGAACUUAAGCGCCAGUAAACGGCGGUGGUAACUAUAACCAUCCUAAGGUAGCGAAAUUCCUUGUCGGGUAAGUUCCGACCUGCACGAAUGGCGUAACGACUUCUCGACUGUCUCAACCAUAGGCCCGGUGAAAUUGCAUUACGAGUAAAGAUGCUCGUUUCGCGCAGCAGGACGGAAAGACCCCGGGACCUUUACUACAGUUUGAUAUUGGUGUUCGGUUCGGCUUGUGUAGGAUAGGUGGGAGACUGUGAAGCAUGCACGCCAGUGUGUGUGGAGUCGUCGUUGAAAUACCACUCUGGUCGUGCUGGAUGUCUAACCUGGGUCCGUGAUCCGGAUCAGGGACAGUGUCUGAUGGGUAGUUUAACUGGGGCGGUUGCCUCCUAAAGAGUAACGGAGGCGCCCAAAGGUUCCCUCAGCCUGGUUGGUAAUCAGGUGUUGAGUGUAAGUGCACAAGGGAGCUUGACUGUGAGACCGACGGGUCGAGCAGGGACGAAAGUCGGGACUAGUGAUCCGGCGGUGGCUUGUGGAAGCGCCGUCGCUCAACGGAUAAAAGGUACCCCGGGGAUAACAGGCUGAUCUUCCCCAAGAGUCCAUAUCGACGGGAUGGUUUGGCACCUCGAUGUCGGCUCGUCGCAUCCUGGGGCUGGAGUCGGUCCCAAGGGUUGGGCUGUUCGCCCAUUAAAGCGGUACGCGAGCUGGGUUUAGAACGUCGUGAGACAGUUCGGUCCCUAUCCGCUGUGCGCGUAGGAAUAUUGAGAAGGGCUGUCCCUAGUACGAGAGGACCGGGACGGACGAACCUCUGGUGUGCCAGUUGUUCUGCCAAGGGCAUGGCUGGUUGGCUACGUUCGGGAGGGAUAACCGCUGAAAGCAUCUAAGCGGGAAGCCUGCUUCGAGAUGAGUAUUCCCACCUCCUUGAGAGGGUAAGGCUCCCAGUAGACGACUGGGUUGAUAGGCCGGAUAUGGAAGCCCUGUAAGGGGUGGAGUUGACCGGUACUAAUAGGCCGAGGGCUUGUCCUC
rnacentral:rRNA from 1 species